rnacentral:rRNA from 1 species
AUGGCCGGCCGUACGCCGUUCACCAACGUCGACCCGGAGACGGCGGCCUACUUGCGGCGCCUGGGCAUCGACCCCCACGAGCUGGACCGAGCCACAGAGCAGCUGCUUACCUACAUCUGCGUCGAGCUCCUCCCCGCCCCGCCCGUCUCCGACGCGCCCCCGCGCAGCAUCUUCUCCCGCCUCCUCAUCACGGAGGCCGCGCACGAACCCGCCCUCCCCGCCAGCGCCGACCUCAUCAGCGUCCUCCCCGACACCCUCCUCCGCAACAUCGUCUCCCGCCUCCCCAUCGCGGACGCCGCGCGCACCGCCGUCCUAGCCUCGCGCUGGCGCCGGGUCUGGCUCUCCACGGAGCCCGUCCUCAUCGACGCCUUCCUCCGGCCCAGCUCGUCGUCCGUCACGGCCGCCGUCUCGGGCAUCCUCGAGUCGCACCCCGGGCCCUUCCGCCGCGUCCACCUAACCUGCAGCCACAUGAGCGCGCACCAGGCCCAGCUCGCGCGCUGGCUCCAGCUCCUCGCCGCCAAGGGCGUCCACGACCUCGUCCUCGUCAAUCGACCGUGGCCGUGCGAUGUGCCCCUCCCUGACGCGCUGUUCAGCAUCAGCUCCGUCGUCCGCCUCUACAUCGGCCUCUGGAAGCUCCCGGACACGGCCGGCCUGCGUGGCGCUGGCGCCUCCUUCCCCCACCUCCGCGAGCUCGGCAUCUGCACCGUCGCGAUGGGGGAGGGCGACGUCGACUCCAUGGUCGCCAGCAGCCCCGUCCUGGAGAUCCUGAGCAUCCAGGGAAGCCACAAGGGGCUGCGCCUCCGCAUCGUGAGCCAGAGCCUACGGUGCGUGCAAAUCUGCAGCUCUGUUGUGGAGAACGUCACGGUGGUGAAGGCUCCACGCCUCGAGCGGCUCAUCCUGCAGGGAGGCCGGCAUGCUGCUAGUGGCCUGUGUACCAUGGUCAGCAUUCUUGAUGCCCCCAAGCUACAUUCGUUUGGAUUCUUGGAGCCAGGCAAUCAUGUCCUGGGGAUCGGAGACACCGUCAUAAUGGCUGGGAUAAAGGAGAGUGCGGCCACCACUGUCGCAAGCGUUAAGAUCCUGAGCUUAAAUGUGCGUUUUGGAGUCCCCAAUGAGGCAAGGAUGGUGCCCAUGUUCCUUAAAUGCUUUCCCAAUGUCGUGCGACUGCAUAUCAUGUCCAGAAAAUGUAAUCGGUCCGCUGGUAAGCUCAGCCUCAAUUUCCAGGAGGGUCCUACUGAAAGUGCUAUGUUGCACAUCAAAGAGAUGCAUUUCCGUGAAUUCCGAGGGGAACAAGGCGAGGUUGCCUUCCUCAAGUCGAUCUUCCCAAAGGUGCUGGAGACUGCGGUGAUUAUAAUGGCAAACCCAAGCUUCACUCCAUUUUCAGUAGCCGUGGCGUUCUCCGAACUGAAGGAGGCUUCUGAGGUCAUAAGGUGCUGCCAAGUGCUGCUUCUUAAGAGUGCAGGGCCCGAAGGAGGCAAAGCAUGGAGUUUUAAAGAAGGAAGUGAUUUUUCAUGCGAGGACCCUUUUUCAACAGUGGAGAGCAGCGUAUUCACUCCGGAGCAGUCGAAGUUUAUUGGAUUUGAUGAAAGUAGGAAACAGGCAUGA